UGACUUCCCGGCUUUCCUUUAAGGAGGUGGUUAGUCCUCUGUGCCUGUGACCCAUCCACAGACUGGAGAGCCACAUCAUGGCCACGGUGUGGACCUUUAUCCCCGCCCGGCCUUACCGUGGGAAAAGGCUCUCGGGAUAUAGAUGAGUGGAGACAAAGUUGAAAGAAACUUCCCGGCCAGCCGGUGGCCAGUCUCCGUGGCUUGUGUUGGGACUAGAGGCGCGCUGGCUUCAGCUCGCAAGUUGGAAUUAAGAAAUAUGUCCGAAAGCCUAGUAAUUUCAAUCAUACUCAAAACAUUAGGUCUGUGUAUGACAUUCACCGAGUGUGUCUGGCUGACGUCAUGUUUACAUCCGCGGUACCGAUAACGCCGAACCUCAUCGGCAGGUUUCGGUGUGGACUUUUUAAGUUUUCAAGUCUAGGGGAGAGAGGGGCUGUGUCUUGGGCAGCAGGGUCAGCAGCGGUAACUAGGGAAGCGGAGGCAUAUGAAACAUGGAAUUUUCAACUCAGGGAGCACAGUUCUAUGGCAGAGAGGUAUAAACUCACUUUCUCAUUGGUACACCGUUGUACAGUCUUUACGGUGAGAUACCCAGAAAUGGUUUUCAGCAGUUUCAUAAAAAUUGAAUCACAUUGCUUUAAAAUUGAGUGUAUUUCAAAAAGCUAGUGACCAAGUUUUAGACCUGUCUUCUUUCCUGAUCCUUUUCUAAUAUUAACCUUUUUUUGAUAUUUCAAAUAAUUGUUAAUUUCUAGAGAUAUACAUACAUUUUAGAUAAUUUUCUAAAAUGAAGGUUUACUAUUAAAGUACAUUUACUUACAUGACAGUAUGUUUAAGUUAGAAAAAUAAUAUUUCUGUAAUAAUUUGAGUCUUCUUUGUAUGUGAAUAGAAUGGUGACAGUGUCUCUUGGAUUUUUAAGUAAGAAAUUCCAGUUCCAGUUCAGGGAGAUGGCACUGCCAGAAGGUGCUUGUCUCCAACCCAAAUGUCCUGAUCCAUAGGACCUACAUGGUAGAAAGAGAGAACCUAUUCUCACUUCUCCUCUUGCAUGUAAUAAAAAAUUAAAAAAAAAUAGAAAUUAUAAUUUGGUUAAGGUAGAAGUGGCAUUUUAGUAGAGGCUUCAUUAAUCAAUGUCAAUAACAUCUAUAGAAAAUGCAGGCAUUUAAUGGCAGAUGCUUUUAAUUAAUUUCAUUUUUAACUUUGUACUGACAGCUAGGCAGUGGUGGCACAGGCUUUUAAUCCCAGCACUGGGGAGGCAGAAGCAGGUGGAUCUCUGUGAGUUUGAGCCAGCCUGGUCUACAGAGCAAGUUCUAGAACAGCCAGAACUGUUACACAGAGAAACCCUAUCUCAAAAUAAAAAAGAUUGCACUAACAAUGCACAGCUUGACAGCUUUAUGGUACUAGGUGAACAUAUAAACAUGUUUCAACACUUUGUUUUGUAACAAUUUGAUAAUUAUAAAGGAUUUCUAUGUCAAAAUGUCCUAAUUUUAAUUGUAGAGACUCAAUUUAAAACUCAUAAAUCAAGGAAACCAGUUACACAUUUAUUCACUUUACCUUAGAUUUUCUUAAAGUAUAUUAUAAUGCAUAUUUCCUGUAUCUGAUAUUCUCUACAUCUUGACAUUUGCUCUAUUGUUUAGCCAUAUCCCAAGACGUGCCUACCAGUUUUGAAGGAUUUUUGCUUUUUGAGACAGAGUCUCACUCUGUAGACCUGGCUGGCUUUGAACUGAAGAGAUCUGUCUGCUUUUGCCUCCCAAGUGCUGAGAUGAAAGGCUAGUACCACUAUACCAACUCAAUUUGGAUUAUCUGUUUAUAUGGCAGCAGUGUUGGGGAUUGAACCUGUGGGUUCUUGCAUGUAAGAUUGGCAGUCUACCAACAGAGCUAUAUAUACAACUAUACAUGGUUUUCUAUGCCAGACUACUAGAAAAAGAUAGGGUUUUGUUGUUUGUUUGUUUGUUUGUGGUACUGUGUUCAAAGCAGAGAAAUGUUCUUUUUAAUUAAGUUACAAGUAUGUAUUUUAUAUGAUUAUAUUGUGAUAUAAGUUGCAAUUUUGAAUGCAUACUUCAUUAAAUUACUUUCUUCUCUUUAUCCUUUUCCUAAGCAUGUAAUUCAUAGUUGGUUAUUUUGUGCAUGUAAAUGAGUUCUCUUUUAAAUAUUUAUACAUAAUAUGUUUUGCUUGAUCCCCUUGCUCUUUCCAGCUAGUCCAAAAGAGGACAUACAUAUUAAGCACUGAGAAAUUUUAAAGGUGAAAUAGAAAGUCUUUUUUUUUUUAAUCCUUGAAGGAUUAGAUUCCAUUUUGCAUUGUAAUAGUUACUGAACAAACAGUACUUUGGUGCUGUUAGUAAAUGGUAUGGUAAUUUAUUUUACAACAGAAACCCAAUUUUCCAUCUGAUGAGUGACAAGCUCUGUGUAAUUGCUGGCCCACCAUUAUUUCCAUUUUCAACAUCUUCUCAUCCUUCACAAUUACAGGAUUUAUUCUUUGCUGAAGGUGGAAGAGGUGGCGGCAGGCCUUACUGUCUUGGCCCAGUGUCAGGCUGGGGUUCCUUGCCUGGGACUGUAUCCCUGGUGUAAACUAUACCCUAGAGGUUGGACCAGAGUCAGUUGGCUUCCUAUUGUGAUUUUCAGGGGAUUAGAUUAUUGAAUUAUGCUUGCUGUUGCGUAUUUAAAAACAAAUAUAACGGUACAGUGCUGUCAGUAGACUACAUAGCAUAUGGAAGUCAUCAUCCAUUAACACCGGUGCUGUCUUCCAGUCCCUGGCCAGCUAAAACAUAUGCUUCAACACAGCAGAAAGUUCUUUUUUUUUUUUUCUUUUUAUGGGUGCUAGAUAAGUAAAACUUUAGUUUAUCUUUUCCUAGACACAACUUGGUCUUGUUGAUGCCCAUGUAGAAGAGAAAAGUUGCUUCCCUGCUAUAUUCAUUCACAUUUACUUCAUGAAGAUAGGACAACUAUCUGACUUUCAGGGGUGUUCUUAGCUAACAUAGAUAGUGACAUGAAAACAAGUGCUCACCUAGUCUGAAACAAUUAGUAAGUCAAGACUACAUGUUUUUUAGUCUUGCAUAGAUGAUAAAAAUGAAUUUAUUUACAUUUCUAGGUCAUGUGACUACCUUGUUUUGAACUGAAAUUCUAUAAGAGCAAUUUAAAAUGUUCAUAACUAGCUAACUGCUAUGAAAUAGGCAGGGACUAUAUUGAAAGCUUCUGUACUGCAAUUUCCAGAUGAAUCUCAGGCUAGUCCAUAAAAUUGCCUUUUGCUGUAUUUUAUCAUUUAUAGACUUUUAUCCAAUAUUUCUAAAUUCUUAUUAGGGACAUCAUGCCAAGUUGCUUAAGUUCAAGUACAAGGUUAUUGUCCUUUAGAUACAAAGUGUGAUUGCAAUCUAACAUUACAUUUUCAAGUAAAGGGGUAUGUCAAGAAUCCUCUUGUUUGAAGCAUAAAGGAAAGGCGUUUACGUCAACCUGUGGCUUUUAGGCAAAGCUUCUUGGGGCAGAGCAUGUAUAAGAAAUAGCCACUUAAGGAAAGUAUAUUUCAGACAGAGAAGUAAAGCAAAGAAGUGGAGAGAAAAUAUGAGAUUGAAGCAUGACGAGAAAGGGAGCAAGGGUAUAUUGAGCUCCUGGGUCUUUGAGUGUCAUGCUACAAAGGAUUUUAAGUUAUAUAGUUCCUGAGGCUAAUAAAGGCAACUAUUUCCAAAUGCUUUUAGUAUUGUAUUCUGUAAUCUCUACAUUCAUGAGCUCUUUUCAUUUGAUAACCUUGGAAUGAAUAUUACAAUGAAUAACUUUUAAGUUGAGUUGGUUAGAGGUUUAGAAGGAUGUUUAUUUACUGUUCAUCAUACUGGCUUUCUCCAUUCAGUUCAGCCAAGGCACAGAUCAAAUCUAACAAUUCUUUCUCUUCCUUCAUUGAUUCAUAUCUGAAUUCUUAUUGUAAUUAUUAUAAUGGGAGUUAAUGAAAAAACUGGAAAGAGUAUGACAUCAUACUAGUGUAUGAUUGAAAUCUUACUUGUAUCUUCUGUUAUGCAUUUAUGCCUUCUGGCACUGUGUCUAUAAUUGCUUACAAACACACAUUUACUAAGUCCCUUAAGAUAUUUUCAUUGGUGUAGUCUGAUGAUAAAAUAUUAAAUGAUUUCAUUGAGUAAGAUAUAUUGGCAAUUUUGUAAAUUUAGGAUGUUAAUAUUCUUGUUAGAAUUGGUUAUAAGUCUAUAAAUUGUAGAAGAGAAGAUCUAUGGAUUGUUUAUUAGAAUUGAGAAUUGGGUGGUAAUUUUAGGACAUACAAGGAGAGACAGAACUGAUGGGUAGCCUGAAUGUAUAUUACAUGACAGACAAACCCUGUUUGUGAAGAUGUUAAUGGAUAGAGAUGACAUUUGUGCUCUAUUAUAGGCAAAAUUGGCUAGAGGAGGAGAAAUAGCAAAAUAUCUGGACUGACAGCUCUUUUAAGUAAACAGAAGGAGGCAAACAAGAAAGCUAUAUGGAUCCUUAAACAGAUUUCAAUACAGAUAAUAUAAUGUGACCAGUGAAACUGCAUGUCUUCAGAACUAAGAAGGUAUGAAAAAGUUAACUGAGCACCAGGUGGAAAGGCACAGGCCUAUUAUCCUAGCAUUCAAGAGAUAGGAUUAUAACUAGUUCAAGGUGAGCAGGGAUUAAACAGAGUUUUCUAGGCUAACCUAGCCUGCAUAGUGAGACCCUUAAAAACAAACAAACCAGACGACUGCCCACUUUGGUCAUUUUCUGCCAAUAUUGUCACUUGUCUUUUAUGUGUUUUUACAUUUCUUUUUUCUUAUAAGAACACUAGUCUUAGUGGAUUAGGACCUACAUUAAUGGUCUCAUUUUAAGUUAUCACCACCUUAAAAGCCCUUAUCUGAAAAAGCAGAUUCAGUGUCAGGUACUUGGGGUUAAUAUUUCACUAACAAAUACAAGGAAGAUGUAGUUUGGCUUAUAAUGGUAGCUGUUAGGAUUUGAAUAUACUUUGUCCUCUAAACUUGAGUUGAAUUCCCAUUGUGAGGUGCUUUCCUUCCCCUUUGAAGACAAGGUUUUGUUGUGUAGUCCUGGAAGACCUCAUACUUACUGUAUAUUUCAGGCCAGCCUCAACUCUUAGCAAUCCUGCCUGCCUUCAGACUGGUUUAGCCUCUGAGUGCUGGGGCUAUAGGUGUGAGCACCAUCACACCCAGCCAUUGUGAGGUAGUAAGAGGAUGAGGACUUCGAGUCUGUGGUUAGAGUCACUGGGAAGUGAUUAGGAUUAUUAGAUAAGGUCCUUAGGUUAGAACCCCCUGUGGUGAUGAAGCAUCUUAGUGACUUUAUGAAACAACGAGGGAAAGAGACCAGGCAUGCACACACUUCUUGUCUCUUGCCAUAUGAUGCUUUGUGAUAUCUUGGGACUCUCCAGCAAGAAGGCCACCAUCAUUUGAGGAUCCUUGGCCUUGUACUUCCAGAACUGUAAGCUAAAAUGAGCACAUUUUCUUUAUUAUUAGUUCAAUGACUAUAUUGGACUUCCAAUAUAGUAACAAGAAGCAGACUGUACAGCCUUCUAGUUGGAAUGAAGAGUAAAUGGAAUGCAGACCUAAGAGCAUUUCAGCUCAGAUGUUUGUUUUUCGGGAGACUGCAUUGGUAGUCUUACUCCUAGAGAUGUAUCUCCAACUACCUAGAGAAGUGUUUUUCUGCAGGGCCAAAGGUUACAGAGAAACAAUUUACAGAUCUGAAAAUCGAACAGAAAACUGUAUUCUAGACACACUGUCUGUUUGCUAAGUAGAAGAUAGUAGUUGGCAUUUGAAUGAAGCAAAAUGAAAAAACAGUUGCUCUCAAGCAGGAAGUGUUGGGAUGUGGCAAUGGGAACACUCUAGAAGGCUAUAGGAGAGUGCUAGUAGAAUAAUCCUUGGUCUUUCAUUAGGCAGAGAGUCCACCAUAAUUACAUGAAUUCAGUUACUAUGAAAUAGUAGUUUGAUAGUAAAAUUUAAUAAAGUUUUAAUAUCAGUUAAUAAUUCCAUAUUAAAACUAGUUACAUAAAGUCUCAAAAGUUGCAGACAGUAUGAACUUCAGGUUUGGAUUUGAACUCUGGGUUAGUAAUUUGGUUAUGAUCAGUCUCUGGCCCAGCAAAAUGAUUGUGUUUUCAUGCAUGGCAUACUCAGUAUUGGGCUCUGCCGGAGGAAGAGCUAAUUCGUAAGGUGCAGGGGAAUUUCUAGAUUCAGUUUGCAAAGUAACCAAUCCAUGAACAGAUCCUAUUUCUUGUAUUUCAGGGGACUGUAAUAUAAUUCACAAAAUGUGAAUGUGCCACCAAGUUUGUUUUGGCCAUAUGAAGUUAAAACAAAAGUCAUUACAUUGCUAUACUAAAUUACACAGGUGUGUGAAAAUUGUAGCUUUAAAGAAUAAUAGUUCACAGCUAAAUAAAGUGAUCACCUCAUUUCAUUUUUGUCAUAAUGAUUUCUUACUGUUUUUAUAGUAAUGUCAUUUGGGAAUGAAGUCGGUAGCUUUGUUUAGGUGCCAUAGAGGAGGUGGUACCAGUUUCUGUCUGUGUGUGCUUCUGGUGUUUUUUUUUUUUUUUUUUUUUUUUUUUUUUAUAGCAUAAAC